AUAAGAGUAAGAAGAACAUGGCUUACUGGUUAAAUAUGAAAGAACAGUAAGUUUGUGUGACCCCAACUCAACUAGAGGAGGGACCAAUGUGUGGCUUUACGCCUUUGGUUUAAAAUAUAAAAACAUGGGAAGUAGAGAGAGCGCCUGCAGUACGAACUGUGUUAAAAGUCACAGACCGUGAAGAGGCAGGUACCAGUACUCGGCGGUAAACCAAACUGGAGCCAUGAUGUUUCUACUGAGCUUUCUGCUGAUUAUCUGCGCUCACGUCUCAUGGAGUGUUUCUUCAGAUGCACUUGUUGUUACUCAGAGUCCUGAUGUUUCUGUCCAAGAAGGAGAGACAGGAAACAUCACCUGCUGCUGGAAAGGGGCAGAACGAGUUGGCAUUAAAUGGUUGAAAAACCAAACAUUAAUAGAGAAUAAGACUGUCAUAAAUCAGUCUACAGGCUCUAAGAAUGAGCAGAAAAAUAAGUGUUCAGUUCUGAUAAUAGAAAACAUGACAACAGGUGAUUCAGGAAGAUACAUCUGCAAGAUUUCUAUGGAGAUACCAGUUUUAAAAGAAGUUGAAGGAAAAGGAACGACCAUCACAGUUACAGC